UAUUGACCCAUGUUUUUCUUCCUGACGUUUUCAUCUCUCUCGAUCGAUCUAUCUUUGGCGACAAAAAUGAGGAGAUGCGAAAUCUCUUCGAUUUUGGUGGAGAUUUCGGUGGAUCUGUUGAACUGAGAAGAAAUAUGAGUCGAAAUUCCGUCUAUCAUCAGUUGUUCUCAUCAUUCCACCGACGUUGGUGACCAUCGGCGAUACCAUCGAAAGCAAAUCAUCGGAAGCAAAUCGGAGACUUCACAAAACUGGGGAGUUUGGUUCAACUAUGCUCCAAUCUUUUGUCCUAGAAUUUGCGUUGGUGGAGAUCUGAUAGACUACAGGUGCCUAUUGCUUGUAUGCAAAGGAAGUUGAGGACUAAAUGAAGAAGAGUGAGACAGGAUCAAAUGAAGAAGGGGAAGCAAAGUGGCUGAAGUCGAGAGAAAGUCUUGUAUUUAAGUGUUGCCCAUUUUAUCCACAGAAAUAAACCCUUGUUGGCGUAACUUUCACUUGAUGAAUAUAAACAACAACACCUUCCAGGGAUUCCUUAGACCGUGGAGGCUGUGUUUUCUUUCCCCAAUCAGUGUAUUCUUGUUUGAGCCAAGAAGCAAGUGUAUAGCAACAUUCAUUAAGACAACGAAGUUUUGCAAGAGCUUCAUCUAUGAAGUUUCUUUCAUGUGUUGCAACCAGCUCAUAGAAUUUCGGAACAAGAGCUGGCCCGGGGACACAUGCAUUUUGCACCAAAGCAUUAACUUUGAACAAGAUCUCGAAAGGUAAAUCAAAUCCUGAAGGUGGAUCAACAACCGGAACAAGCUUGUUUCCCAUUGAUGAAUAACAAUUCGCAAAUCCUAAUUCAAAAGUGCAGGGGUUGUGCUCUGAGUAGUUGUUGAUGAAUUUCUUACGGACGUAUUCAAGAACAUAGAGCUGAUCGAUCUACAUGAAGGAUCGACUGAAACCUAAGUUUCAUCGUGUUGAGGAUAGAAUAGACGCAAGAUAAAUCAAGUUGGAGGAGAAUUAAGGACAAUAUCAUGGAGCCACUAGAGACCUUGACAUGUACAAAUACCGAACGGAGUUGCAUGUUGAAUCAUUCAUGUGAUUUCAAUCACCAGUGAAAUGAGAUUGUCGCCAACAAAACCUCUGGAGAGGUGAUAAUUCUGUCUCCUAAAAAAACAUGAUGCAUGCAGUAAUUCUAGUUAGUACAAUUUAACUAAAACAAAAUCUUUUCAGUUUGCCAUAUUAGUUUUUUUGGUGUUAUUAGAAGAUGACACUUCAUUAGAAAGAACAAUCAAUCGAAUCAUAUAUAUGAAAGGAGGUGAACUCUUUCCAUGAGAGUGACACGUCAGCGCACAAAUGAUUGAUAUGUGUCCUACUUAUUUGGUUAUUAAAAAAAAGAAUAAAAUAAAAACUCAUAAGUCCGUUCACCUUCCGAAACCAAGGUCUACAAUUUUUUUUCUACGGUUAGGGAUCCAAAACUUCUAACAACCUAACGUGGCCUAUAAUCCUUUCGACUUUCUAGCAACCACUAUCAAUUGAAAAAAUUCAAUAAGAUCUCUCUGGAUCUCUUUCCUUCUUUCUAUAACAAACAUUUUUCUAUAAACCAAGAAUCCUCACAAAAAAAUGGCUUCGCUUCUCACCAACAUGUUAGAGAGAGUAAACUACCAAUGAAAACGAUGUACCAUACAUGAAUGUUUAUAUUCU